AUUGAACGCUGGCGGCAGGCUUAACACAUGCAAGUCGAGCGGGGUGAUGGUGCUUGCACUAUCACUUAGCGGCGGACGGGUGAGUAAUGCUUAGGAAUCUGCCUAUUAGUGGGGGACAACAUCUCGAAAGGGAUGCUAAUACCGCAUACGUCCUACGGGAGAAAGCAGGGGAUCACUUGUGACCUUGCGCUAAUAGAUGAGCCUAAGUCGGAUUAGCUAGUUGGUGGGGUAAAGGCCUACCAAGGCGACGAUCUGUAGCGGGUCUGAGAGGAUGAUCCGCCACACUGGGACUGAGACACGGCCCAGACUCCUACGGGAGGCAGCAGUGGGGAAUAUUGGACAAUGGGGGGAACCCUGAUCCAGCCAUGCCGCGUGUGUGAAGAAGGCCUUAUGGUUGUAAAGCACUUUAAGCGAGGAGGAGGCUCUUUUGGUUAAUACCUAAGAUGAGUGGACGUUACUCGCAGAAUAAACACCGGCUAACUCUGUGCCAGCCGCUGCCGUAA
rnacentral:rRNA from 1 species